rnacentral:rRNA from 1 species
UACGUAGGUCCCGAGCGUUGUCCCGAUUUAUUGGGCGUAAAGCGAGCGCAGGUGGUUUAUUAAGUCUGGCGUAAAAGGCAGUGGCUCAACCAUUGUAUGCAUUGGAAACUGGUAGACUUGAGUGCAGGAGAGGAGAGUGGAAUUCCAUGUGUAGCGGUGAAACGCGUAGAUAUAUGGAGGAACACCGGUGGCGAAAGCGGCUCUCUGGCCUGUAACUGACACUGAGGCUCGAAAGCGUGGGGAGCAAACAGG